rnacentral:rRNA from 1 species
GAUGAACGCUGGCGGCGUGCCUAAUACAUGCAAGUCGAGCGAACGGACGAGAAGCUUGCUUCUCUGAUGUUAGCGGCGGACGGGUGAGUAACACGUGGAUAACCUACCUAUAAGACUGGGAUAACUUCGGGAAACCGGAGCUAAUACCGGAUAAUAUUUUGAACCGCAUGGUUCAAAAGUGAAAGACGGUCUUGCUGUCACUUAUAGAUGGAUCCGCGCUGCAUUAGCUAGUUGGUAAGGUAACGGCUUACCAAGGCAACGAUGCAUAGCCGACCUGAGAGGGUGAUCGGCCACACUGGAACUGAGACACGGUCCAGACUCCUACGGGAGGCAGCAGUAGGGAAUCUUCCGCAAUGGGCGAAAGCCUGACGGAGCAACGCCGCGUGAGUGAUGAAGGUCUUCGGAUCGUAAAACUCUGUUAUUAGGGAAGAACAUAUGUGUAAGUAACUGUGCACAUCUUGACGGUACCUAAUCAGAAAGCCACGGCUAACUACGUGCCAGCAGCCGCGGUAAUACGUAGGUGGCAAGCGUUAUCCGGAAUUAUUGGGCGUAAAGCGCGCGUAGGCGGUUUUUUAAGUCUGAUGUGAAAGCCCACGGCUCAACCGUGGAGGGUCAUUGGAAACUGGAAAACUUGAGUGCAGAAGAGGAAAGUGGAAUUCCAUGUGUAGCGGUGAAAUGCGCAGAGAUAUGGAGGAACACCAGUGGCGAAGGCGACUUUCUGGUCUGUAACUGACGCUGAUGUGCGAAAGCGUGGGGAUCAAACAGGAUUAGAUACCCUGGUAGUCCACGCCGUAAACGAUGAGUGCUAAGUGUUAGGGGGUUUCCGCCCCUUAGUGCUGCAGCUAACGCAUUAAGCACUCCGCCUGGGGAGUACGACCGCAAGGUUGAAACUCAAAGGAAUUGACGGGGACCCGCACAAGCGGUGGAGCAUGUGGUUUAAUUCGAAGCAACGCGAAGAACCUUACCAAAUCUUGACAUCCUUUGACAACUCUAGAGAUAGAGCUUUCCCCUUCGGGGGACAAAGUGACAGGUGGUGCAUGGUUGUCGUCAGCUCGUGUCGUGAGAUGUUGGGUUAAGUCCCGCAACGAGCGCAACCCUUAAGCUUAGUUGCCAUCAUUAAGUUGGGCACUCUAAGUUGACUGCCGGUGACAAACCGGAGGAAGGUGGGGAUGACGUCAAAUCAUCAUGCCCCUUAUGAUUUGGGCUACACACGUGCUACAAUGGACAAUACAAAGGGCAGCGAAACCGCGAGGUCAAGCAAAUCCCAUAAAGUUGUUCUCAGUUCGGAUUGUAGUCUGCAACUCGACUACAUGAGGCUGGAAUCGCUAGUAAUCGUAGAUCAGCAUGCUACGGUGAAUACGUUCCCGGGUCU